AAGACUGAUGACAGUUGAGGAGAGGGGCAGUUUAAAUCAGCUGAUGGUUGGAGCAGGAAAGGAGAGAUUAAGAAAAGGAAUAUGGAGCUGAAAGCUUGUUUGGGACCUUAUUUCUUGAACUGAUGGGAUUUCUCUGAUAGUGAGAGGGUGAAAGAUACCAGAUUUUUGUUCAAGGAGAGCUCUGAGGGAAUGAUCAGAGGAAAAGAGGGGUGGGGGGAUAAAAGGACAAACUAGGCACCAUUCAUACAAGAAUACUGAGGGAGAAGGAAGAAAAGGACUGAUUCUUAAGACGACUGUCUCCAGAUAAUCUCUUGGGCUAAACUUCUUUUCCACCAGAGCAUACUCUGCUGCGUGAGAAUUGUAAUGUUCCUCCUCACACCCCUCAACAAAGACUACUUAGAAGUCACAUCACUGGCCUUGGAAUCCAUUCACUGACAUCACAGAGGUUGGCAACUGGCUGCAGUUACUGAAGGAAAGAAACCGCACAUGGACCACUCUGCACAUGGACAAAGGCACAGGUUUCUUACAUAUAUCAAGGCUGAGCAUGGAGAUUCCAAAUUAAGCCCCAAGUGCCAUAGAUUAAAUUAAAUGUUGUUGUGGCAAGAUGCCCAAUAGGGUUAUUUUUCACCUACACCCAUACUAAGAAAAAUGAAUCUUAUAUGGCAUGACCAAUAUACUUGUUCCUUUGUUAUUCGCUCA